GACAGAGGGUGCGAACGUUGUUCGGAAUUACUGGGCGUAAAGCGCGUGUAGGCGGCAGCGUGUGUCGGGCGUGAAAUCCCACGGCUCAACCGUGGAAGUGCACUCGAAACUGCGCAGCUAGAGUCCUGGAGAGGAAGGUGGAAUGCUUGGUGUAGAGGUGAAAUUCGUAGAUAUCAAGCGGAACACCGGUGGCGAAGGCGACCUUCUGGACAGUGACUGACGCUGAGACGCGAAAGCGUGGGGAGCAAACGGG
rnacentral:rRNA from 1 species